rnacentral:rRNA from 1 species
AGGRKMMGGGWRRARUGSUAAGWGUYGKAGGGUUUCCGCCCUUCAGUGCUGCAGCUAACGCAUUAAGCACUCCGCCUGGGGAGUACGACCGCAAGGUUGAAACUCAAAGGAAUUGACGGGGGCCCGCACAAGCGGUGGAGCAUGUGGUUUAAUUCGAAGCAACGCGAAGAACCUUACCAGGUCUUGACAUCCUUUGACCACUCUAGAGAUAGAGCUUCCCCUUCGGGGGCAAAGUGACAGGUGGUGCAUGGUUGUCGUCAGCUCGUGUCGUGAGAUGUUGGGUUAAGUCCCGCAACGAGCGCAACCCUUAUUGUUAGUUGCCAYCAUUCAGUUGGGCACUCUAGCAAGACUGCCGGUGACAAACCGGAGGAAGGUGGGGAUGACGU